GAUGGAGAACGUAGCGAAAUGCGAUAAGUAAUGUGAAUUGCAGAAUUCAGUGAAUCAUCGAAUCUUUGAACGCACAUUGCGCCCGCCAGUAUUCUGGCGGGCAUGCCUGUUCGAGCGUCAUUUCAACCAUCAAGCCCCCGGCUUGUGUUGGGGACCUGCGGCUGCCGCAGGCCCUGAAAACCAGUGGCGGGCUCGCUAGUCACUCCGAGCGUAGUAAUACAUCUCGCUCAGGGCGUGCUGCGGGUUCCGGCCGUUAAAAAGCCUUAUUUACCCAAGGUUGACAUCGGAUCAGGUAGGAAGACCCGCUGAACUUAAGCAUAUCAAUAAGCGGAGGA
rnacentral:misc_RNA from 1 species